AUGAGCCGAAAGAUCUUCCUCAGGAUUGUCAAGUCCAUCAGGGAGUUCGACAGCUACUUCAAGUGCAAGAAGGAUUGCACCGGCACACUUGGAUUCACCUCACUCCAAAAGUGCACAACAGCUAUGAGGAUGCUUUCAUACGGAGCUCCCGGUGAUUCACGGGAAGACUAUGGGCGCACGGCCGAGUUCAUGACCAUUGAGUGUUUCUACAAGUUCUGCAGGGCAGUGGUGGUAGUGUUUGGACCGCAAUACUUGCGAUCACCCAAUGCUGAAGUCACUGGUCGGAUCCUAGCACAAAAUGCAGCUAGAGGAUUUCCAGGGAUGCUUGGAAGCAUCGACUGCAUGCAUUGGAAAUGA
rnacentral:rRNA from 1 species